UUAGGGGUUUCUGGUUUUUCAAGAAAUGAAUUUAAUUCAUGCGUUUUAUUUAGAGUUUUAUUAUUUGUUUAUUUAUUUUUAUUUGGCGUUAAGAUUGGGAGGGAUUAGCUUCUUAUUUUAUUUUUAUAAUUUUUUGUUUAUUUAGUCUUGUGGGUUUUAUAUUGAUUUUCAAUUUGAUUAUGUUAAAAUUUUAUUUGUUUUGUUCUUUAUUUUUGUUUAUUUAAUUAUUUAUUGAAAUGUAUUCUUUAUCUUUGGUUUUGUCUAGUAAUUAUUGUAGAAUUAGUAAAUUUGUUGUUAGGUUGUUUUAUUUAUGUAAAUUUUUUUUAAGGAACUAGGCAAAUUUCAUGUCCGCCUGUUUAACAAAAACAUCUUUUCUCGUUAGUUUUUGAAGUAUGGCCUGCCCGCUGACUUUGGUGUUGAAGGGCCGCGGUAUUUUGACCGUGCAAAGGUAGCAUAGUCAUUAGUUCUUUAAUUGUGAUCUGGUAUGAAUGGCUUGACGAGGCAUGGGCUGUCUUAAUUUUGAAUUGUUUAUUGAAUUUAGUCUUUGAGUUAAAAUUCUUAGAUGUUUUUAUGGGACGAGAAGACCCUAUAGAGUUUAACAUUUGUUAUGGUCCCCUUUCUGUUUGUGAGGGUUCACUGGGCUGUUUAAUAUGUUUUGUUGGGGUGAUGGGAGGGAUUAAUUUAA
rnacentral:rRNA from 1 species